GAUGAACGCUAGCGGCAGGCCUAAUACAUGCAAGUCAAGGGGCCAGCAAUGGCACCGGCGGACGGGUGCGUAACGCGUACAGAACGUACCCUUAGGUGGAGGAUAGCAUUGGGAAACUGGUGGUAAUACUCCAUGGUAUCAGUUGAUGGCAUCAUUGACUGAUUAAAGAUCACGCCUAAGGAUCGCUGUGCGUCUGAUUAGCUAGUUGGUAGGGUAACGGCCUACCAAGGCUACGAUCAGUAGCUGGUCUGAGAGGAUGAUCAGCCACACUGGAACUGAGACACGGUCCAGACUCCUACGGGAGGCAGCAGUAAGGAAUAUUGCUCAAUGGCCGAAAGGCUGAAGCAGCCAUGCCGCGUGGAGGAUGAAGGUCCUCUGGAUUGUAAACUUC
rnacentral:rRNA from 1 species